rnacentral:rRNA from 1 species
AUGCUGACAUAAGUAACGAUAAAGCGGGUGAAAAGCCCGCUCGCCGGAAGACCAAGGGUUCCUGUCCAACGUUAAUCGGGGCAGGGUGAGUCGACCCCUAAGGCGAGGCCGAAAGGCGUAGUCGAUGGGAAACGGGUUAAUAUUCCCGUACUUGGUGUUACUGCGAAGGGGGGACGGAGAAGGCUAUGUUGGCCGGGCGACGGUUGUCCCGGUUUAAGCGUGUAGGCUGGUUUUCCAGGCAAAUCCGGAAAAUCAAGGCUGAGGCGUGACGACGAGGCACUACGGUGCUGAAGCAACAAAUGCCCUGCUUCCAGGAAAAGCCUCUAAGCAUCAGGUAACAUCAAAUCGUACCCCAAACCGACACAGGUGGUCAGGUAGAGAAUACCAAGGCGCUUGAGAGAACUCGGGUGAAGGAACUAGGCAAAAUGGUGCCGUAACU